UCUUUAUUCAAAUACAGUACUAUCGGAUAUCUUCGUACGGGGGCGAAAUAAAGCCAAACCCGAGUUCAACACAAGCCAAAACGUAACCAAUUUGGUUUUAGAAGUUUUAGGAAAUUUUCAAGAGGUUUUACAAAGAAUAAUACUCUCUGCUUGUGGGCUAAGUGUUGACCUAAAAUCGACUUUACCGAGUAUAUGCAAAGCCAUAGAUAAAGUAAAAGGAAAAUGGAAAAGCUUAACUCACUUGUUAGUCCAAACCUGAUAAGGAUUCAAGGAAAUUCGUAACACAAAGUGUAAAACUAACCGUAAACCCAGUCGAUAUAAUGCAACAAAGAGUAUAGAUAAAGCA